rnacentral:rRNA from 1 species
AUACGGAGGAUGCGAGCGUUAUCCGGAUUUAUUGAGUUUAAAGGGUGCGUAGGCGGUUUUUUAAGUCAGCGGUGAAACGCACGGGCUCAACCCUUGACCUGCCGUUGAAACUGGAGGACUUGAAUGCGGAUGCUGUGGGAGGAAUGUGUGGUGUAGCGGUGAAAUGCAUAGAUAUCACACAGAACACCGAUUGCGAAGGCAUCUCACAAAUCCGUGAUUGACGCUGAGGCACGAAAGUGUGGGGAUCAAACAGGAUUAGAUACCCUGGUAGUCCACACUGUAAAAGAUGAUGACUCGCUGUCGGCGAUAUACAGUCGGUGGCCAAGCGAAAGCGAUAAGUCAUCCACCUGGGGAGUACGACCGCAAGGUUGAAACUUAAAUGAAUUGACGGGGG